GACGAACGCUGGCGGUGUGCUUAACACAUGCCAGUCGAACGGAAAGGCCCUGCUUUUGUGGGGUGCUCGAGUGGCGAACGGGUGAGUAACACGUGAGUAACCUGCCCUUGACUUUGGGAUAACUUCAGGAAACUGGGGCUAAUACCGGAUAGGAGCUCCUGCUGCAUGGUGGGGGUUGGAAAGUUUCGGCGGUUGGGGAUGGACUCGCGGCUUAUCAGCUUGUUGGUGGGGUAGUGGCUUACCAAGGCUUUGACGGGUAGCCGGCCUGAGAGGGUGACCGGCCACAUUGGGACUGAGAUACGGCCCAGACUCCUACGGGAGGCAGCAGUGGGGAAUAUUGCACAAUGGGCGGAAGCCUGAUGCAGCAACGCCGCGUGCGGGAUGACGGCCUUCGGGUUGUAAACCGCUUUCGCCUGUGACGAAGCGUGAGUGACGGUAAUGGGUAAAGAAGCACCGGCUAACUACGU
rnacentral:rRNA from 1 species